AUUUUCUUCAAACAAACACCACCUUACCAAAUUCUACACAAACUAGGAUUUCUUCAUAUUUAUAGUUUUGCCACCUUACAAAUAUCUUCCUCUCACCAAAUUUACAAAUUCACUAUUCUCUUUUCUCAUUUCUUUUUCUUUUCACAACCAAGCACCACCAAAACUCUUAUCAUAGCAUUGGCACCCACCACUGAACCCUAACCAACCGUUACCCAUCGCCACCACCGAUCACAAACCUCCAGUGGUCCUAUUUUGUGCAAUUGUCUUGAAGAAAGAAGCUUGGGAUGGAAAUUGAGAGAGUUGUGUAUGACAGUUUUGUAAAUAUAACUAAGACAGUUAGUAUAAAUCCAAGAUUUGCAAUUCCUAAUGAAAGAUAAUUGAGGAGAGUGAGGCUUUCUUCCAAAACCUCUAGCAGUAGAGGAUCAAGAAAGAUUGUGUUUAAAGGAGAUGGGUAUAAGGUCACUUAUCCUACUAACCUACCUUUUAAGGCUUUAGGGUUGUAGUGGCAAGGCCAACCAUGUAUAGCCACAAGACAGCUUGAAGAAGGAAGAGAACACAUGAUAGAAAGGAUUCAAUAGAGAUCCAAGUUUGAUGCAGUCAUUUUUAAUUGAGAUUGUGAAAUGAGUGGUAAGGGUAUGUAAUGGCUCUAGUUCAUUUUUGGGCGUAGUUAGUUCAUAUAGGAACUUCAUAGUACUUAUUUUUGUGACUCUAGUUCCUUAUGAACUAAAUGAUUGAUUUUUGUGUUAUAGGCAGCAAAUUUAGGACAUGUUAAUUUUGUAUUUAUUUUGAUAAACUCGUUGUCUAAGCUCAAGUGUGAGCAUACAUGGUCACUAGUAGUAAUUCCAACAAGUGACCAUGUUUGAUUUUGUGACUUUCGUAUCAUUAAUAGGUUAGUAAGAUAAUGAAUGAAAUCCAUUUUCCUUUCAAGGAAUAUAAA